rnacentral:lncRNA from 1 species
CAUAUGGCCAUGAAACAUCGAGCCGGCCAUCCAUGGUAGCUAUCGAUGAUAGCAAAGCCAUGGUCCUGGUGAUAGUAAAGCCCCGAUGAUGGCCUUAAUGGCAGCUGUUGCUGGUGGCAUGGUGGGGAAGAAAUAAAAAAGACAAUGAUUGCCCUAUUUUGAUUAAACCGAUGACUUGCUAGCUCCAAUCAGGCACCGACGAUCAGGAAACAACCACA